CGUAGGGUGCGAGCGUUGUCCGGAAUUAUUGGGCGUAAAGGGCUCGUAGGCGGUUUGUCGCGUCGGGAGUGAAAACAUCCAGCUUAACUGGGUGCUUGCUUUCGAUACGGGCAGGCUUGAGGUAUGCAGGGGAGAAUGGAAUUCCCGGUGUAGCGGUGAAAUGCGCAGAUAUCAGGAGGAACACCGGUGGCGAAGGCGGUUCUCUGGGCAUUACCUGACGCUGAGGAGCGAAAGUGUGGGGAGCGAACAGGAUUAGAUACCCUGGUAGUCCACACCGUAAACGUUGGGCGCUAGGUGUGGGACCUAUUCCAUGGGUUCCGUGCCGUAGCUAACGCAUUAAGCGCCCCGCCCUGGGGAGGUACGGCCGCAAGGCUA
rnacentral:rRNA from 1 species